CAGUAGCCGCGGUAAUACGGAGGGGGCUAGCGUUGUUCGGAAUUACUGGGCGUAAAGCGCACGUAGGCGGCUUGGUAAGUUAGAGGUGAAAGCCUGGAGCUCAACUCCAGAAUUGCCUUUAAGACUGCCGAGCUAGCAGGUGAGAGAGGUAAGUGGAAUUCCGAGUGUAGAGGUGAAAUUCGUAGAUAUUCGGAAGAACACCAGUGGCGAAGGCGGCUUACUGGCUCAUACUGGACGCUGAGGUGCGAAAGCGUGGGGAGCAAACAGGAUUAGAUACCCCGGUAGUCCCUGUCUCUUAUAC
rnacentral:rRNA from 1 species